UACGUAGGGUGCAAGCGUUGUCCGGAAUUAUUGGGCGUAAAGAGCUCGUAGGCGGUCUGUCGCGUCUGCUGUGAAAACUCAGGGCUUAACCCUGAGCUUGCAGUGGGUACGGGCAGACUAGAGUGCGGUAGGGGAGACUGGAAUUCCUGGUGUAGCGGUGAAAUGCGCAGAUAUCAGGAGGAACACCGGUGGCGAAGGCGGGUCUCUGGGCAUUACCUGACGCUGAGGAGCGAAAGUGUGGGGAGCGAACAGG
rnacentral:rRNA from 1 species